UUUUAUGGUGCAACAUUUGGGCUCUCUGCAUGUUGUGUGUAUGGGGAUCACCUUAUCGUCCUCAAGAAAUGGCAUUGAGAAGAGGUGUGGAUAUUGUUGUUGGAACUCCUGGUCGUGUCAAGGAUUUCAUUGUUAAAGGAACUCUCAAUUUGAAAUGCUUGAAAUUUCGUGUCCUUGAUGAAGCUGAUGAGAUGCUAAACAUGGGUUUUGUUGAUGAUGUCGAGCUCAUUCUUGGCAAGGUAGAAGAUGCUACCAAAGUACAGACGCUUCUGUUCAGUGCCACUCUGCCAGAUUGGGUGAAUAAGCACUCUAUGAGGUUUCUGAAAGUUGACAGGAAAACAGUUGAUCUUGUCGGUAAUGAGAAACUGAAGGCCAGUGCAUCUGUUAAGCACCUUGCUCUUCCUUGUAACAAGGCAGCAAGGGCACAAGUUAUUCCAGACAUUAUCCGAUGUUAUAGCCAUGGAGGUCGAACCAUCAUCUUCACUGAGACGAAGGAUUCUGCAUCAGAGCUUUCUGGUAAUACUGGUGUUGCUGUCAUGCUUUAUGAGCCCAGAUAUAAGCACAGUGUCAGCAGACUAGAAAGGGAGUCUGGGGUUAAAUUUGAGCAUAUCUCUGCGCCACAACCCACUGAUGUAGCACAAUCUGCUGGCAGUGAAGCUGCAGAUGCCAUUGCGAGUGUGUCAGACAGUGUUAUUCCUAUCUUCAGGCAGCAAGCAGAGCAGUUGCUAAGCUCUUCCAGUCUGUCUGCAGCUGACUUGCUUGCCAAAGCACUUGCGAAGGCAGUUGGUUACACGGACAUAAAGAAAAGAUUAUUGUUAUCUUCCUUGGAGGAUUAUAGUACACUACAUCUUCAAACUAGCAGACCGAUUGGUCACCUGGGUUUGCUAUAACAUUCCGGUGAUCUUGUUUCUUCAUCGUCGGGGUCAUAUUUGUUCCCAUUGGUGUUAUCUUCAGUUUGACGUCGGCAACGUGGUCAUGGUGACCGGCGGGAGGAACACCGGGCGUGUAGGAGUGAUCAAGAACUGGGAGAAGCACAAGGGCAUCUUCGAGGUCAUCGACGUGCUGCUUGGAGUUUUUUGCAUGCUAUGUCUAGUUUUCUCCUAUUUGUUGUACAGGAAAACAUAGAAUGGAAUUCAAAUUUGGUGGUCGCAAAA